rnacentral:misc_RNA from 1 species
AAAACGCGAAAUGUGUUAUGAAGUGCAGUCUUUGUGAAUCAUGAAUCUUUGAACGCACCUUGCACCACUUUUGGGUGGUAUGUCUGUUUGAGGGAGGUAACAGCGUGGAAGUCAUUCUGGGGUGGGGUCAUUGUGCAAUUGUGUACUGCCCUUAAAACGAUGCAACACUGGUGAUGGGAUAGCAUCUGCAUCAACCACGAGUAAACAUUCUCCUCAAAUCAGACAAGAUGACCCGCUGAACUUAA